AUUAAUAUGUUGAUGCUUUAAAAUUUUUGUGACAUCUGUAAUGAAGCUUGUGAUUCAAAAUUUUUCUAUUAUAAUUAACUGAUGAC
rnacentral:snoRNA from 13 species